GCGGGGGGCUGGAUGGCCGCUUGGGCCGAUGUUUCGGUUCGAGAGGAAAGUCCGGACUCCACGAAGAGACGGUGCCGGGUAACGCCCGGGCGGAGUGAUCCGACGGAAAGCGCCACAGAGAAAAGACCGCCUGCCACAGGGCGGGUCAGGGUGAAACGGUGGGGUAAGAGCCCACCGCGGGGCUGGUAACAGCCCCGGCACGGCAAGCCCCACCGGGAGCAAUGCCAAAUAGGGACCUCGUCGCGUCGCAAGGCGCGGGGCCGCUUCAGCCCAGAGGUCCGGGUUGGCAGCUAGAGCGGCCGGGCAAUCGGUCGCCCAGAGGAAUGGUCAUCCACGGGGGUCCGCCCCCUGGACAGAAUCCGGCUUACAGGCCCCUCCGCGCAU
rnacentral:RNase_P_RNA from 2 species